CUGCGCUGGUGCUGGCCUGUGGUGCUGUGAUAUGGAUGUGCCAAAAAUACGUAGUGUGCAAGAGAGAAGAGAGAGCAGCAGAGCAGGCUCAUCCUGAUACCAACUAGGAGAGAGUUCCAACUGGAGACGAGGGCAGAACGGAGCUGGAGAGGCAGCCGAAGAGACUCUUGCCCCAUCAAAGAAGAAUCUCAGCCAUCGUCCCAGUGCAUUCCAUUCUGCCAUCCAAGAGGCCAAAGGUCUUCAAAGUCAUCUGGAAGACUUGGAGCUUGAACUCAAAGCCGUGAAAGAGGUCCACGGGAACAGUCCUGAGUGCUGCUUUCUGUCAGGGGACGGCCCUGAAAGUGAGAGCGGAGAACCAGCAGCAGAGCUUUUGUCCUUCACCCUGCAUUCUCUGGGACAAGCAUCAGCAACAUUUCAAAGAUUCUUAGCUCGGCACAGCUACAAUCCUGUUGAGGGUCCUAAUGAGGAGCCAGAAAGCGAGCUUCCUCUGACCGCUGGACAACACCUUAACGUCUUUGGAGCUGUGGAUGAGAAUGGCUGGUUUCAGGGAGAGCUGACAGAUGGCACAAGAGGACUGGUCCCAUCCAGUUUGGUUGCGGAGGUUUCAGAUGAUGAACUGGAUACAACGAUGCCUCCGGAGCUCUGUGCUCUCCUGCUGGAUACUUGAUGAAUAAGUGGAUGCAGAGAUU